ACAGCACCACCACUGUUCUGUGCCAUCUGACAAACAUUUCUAACUGCGUCAAGAGUAUAAGAGCUCAGCUCAGAGAGGACAUUUGCUGAGAAACCAGAGUUGGGCUACAAGACAUUGUAGGCUACCAAGAGUUGAAAUGGGUCUUCCAGCCUUGGGUCUGAUACCGUUUUUGGGGCCCCUUGCGUUACCAGUAGCAUUGGGAACAGUCGCAGUAGGGGGGAUUAUAUUGAUUAAGGCGAUUCAUAAGAAACCUUCAUAUCAUCCAGGAAGUCCCAUAAUAACACGUUCCGUGAAGGUAAAGUCAAAUAAAGCUUCUGGAAAUGAACCCACUGGAAAUGCUGCCAGCAAGAAGACAGAAGGACAGGGGAGCAGCAAUGAAACUACCAUCAUAAUUGCUUACGGCCUUGGAGUGGUUGACACUUAUAAAAAUGUUAAAAAAGGUAGACCAUCUCAGUUUGGUCCGGGUAACUUUCGCAUGGCAGAGGCAGACCAUAUUCCACCAUUGGCUUCUCUGAGGAUAGCCCGAAACCAUGAACGACUGGAUCGUCUCCUACAAGUGAAUCCAAGGCUCCAUGAGAUGAUCAUGAGCCUUGAUUAUGACCCAACAGGACAGAACCUGUUAACCAUGAGGGUUCUUUACCAGGAUCACAGAGAUGCUCUGACUACUGGAAACAGCAGGGAAUCUCAAGUAUCCAGUCGUCUGCUGGCAGAGACAAUCGUAGACGGAGAUGCUGCACUUAUGCUGAGGAAGGCUUUUAUCAUGGGUCAUCCUAUAUCUUCCUGGCAGCUCAGAGAAGACGCAGGUAAAGACAUGGAUUCUUUCCCUGUUCCCUCAUCUUACAGUAGACACUGUAGAUCUUUAGUGUCGCUUACAAAAGUAACAUUUUCACUAAGUUUGUCUUAGUCGCUGAGUUUGCCUGUAUGUUAUAUUAGGAGUAUUUUACAAAAAAACUAAGAUAUGCAUACAGUCUAUUUCUCACCAGUCCACCAUUGAUAUGGUCUCAGAAUAUCAUCAUUUUGAAUAAUGGAGCAUCAGCGCCAGACUUAUAGAAAACUUGUUUAGUUCCUAAAAUACUGUUAUCAACACUUGCUCUUGCUUUCCUGGCGACUUGAAGCUAAAUGCCUUGAAUGUGAGGGACAAUUUGGGAUUUCAUCAAAAAUGGACUAAUGAAAAACAUAUUUUUUAAACAUAAAAAUAAAAAUGCAUAAUUGCUUUUUGAGUAAAAUGCCACUUUAAAGUUCAAAUUUUCCCUAUUUGAAACCGAUGGUUUCAUUGACAUGUCUGACGAAGGAACAAGGUACUACUACAGAAAUGGCUACAUUGAGCUGGUCGAAGCAUACCACAGGAAGGGGAUAAUCAACAAGAAUCAAGCAAAAAAGCUCAUUUCAUGGGUGGAAAGAGAGAUGCACCUGGACCGGGAUACCCCAGAGUAUAAGGAGAUCCUUGAUUACAUUAAACGUCAUAUUCGUGUUUUCCGGUGGUAGAAAUGUCAAACAAACUCAGACAACACAGAGUAAAUACAGAUUGUGUAAUCUAACAUGCUGACCAGACUGGACACGUCGCGCGCGAGCGUCGCAAAAUACAUUUAGAAAUACAUUUAUGCACGAUAGCGCACGUGCAUAAAUGUUUGGGUUCCGUGUAACGGGAGUUCCCAAGUUAAAACCCUUUCUAUGAUAUGCAAUUUAUGGAAUUCAGUAUAGUUGGAUUAUAGUUUGAAAUAUACUAAUUCAUGUUGCCAUUCUAGAACUCGAUUAAUGCACCAUCUUGAUUAACUUGAUUAAUUUACACGUAUAAGGAAUGCAUAUGCUGGGGUCAAGGAAGGGUAGAUAGGGACUUAUGGAAAGUUACAGUGUAGAAAGUUCAUAUUCUGCUCCAUGUUUCUAAGGAGGGAGUCGAAGGGCAAUAGUUAGUCUCUGAAAAGGCAGGCCAGCUGAGGAACUAGGGAGGGGCGAGGAAUGUAUCUCGAGGUCAAGUCAACAAAUGAAGUGAUAAGAAACCUCUGGGAGGCAGGCAAGAGAGACCCACCACAAUGACUCUCCUACUUAUGAGAAUUCUGUGUUAUGCACUAUAGCCUGUUACCAUAUAUGUGUUUGAAUACUAUCUGCUGUUGGCUUGUGUGGAUGUAUGUAGGUGUUAUGCAACAUAGCUGACUUGAAACAUUGUUAACAGUUUCAGGGCCAUGGGCCUUUCUCAUGAUGGAAGAAUACAGAAUAACAUAAAAACGGACACAUACAGAACGUAGUGUAGCAAACCACAGGCUGUUUUUUGUUAGAACUCAAACUUAACAAUAACAGAAACCAGAUAUGUGAUAACGGUAUCUAGGGAAUGAGCGCAUAGAUACUCGACACAGCAAGUUACAUCUAUCAACUGGAGCGCCCGGGGGCUGGUACCAGCUCGUACGACAACAAUCAACGAUAGGCUGGGUGAGAUUAAACCACGCCCAGUCUCUACUCUGACAGACCGGCUCGGAAGCUGGAACUACUACUGUCAUCAGGGUACAUUAUAAUAUCUUUGUCAGGAACAAGUCAGUUCUCUGUUUGCCCUGCGAGGUGGGACAGAGAGCCCGUAUAUACGAAAAUUGCAUUUACCAUUUAUUGCUUAGCUAAUAAAAAAUACAUAGUAUACAAUCGGUCGCUCAUUGUCAUAUUUAUCCUGAUACCAGAUUCGAAUUGACGCAACUCUAACAUACUGCAGUCCUAUUUCACACAUGUACUUCCAUGCAUGAAGGUUUUAGUAUCAGGCAGUGCUAUAACUACACCAGUGAGAGGAACCAAUUACGUUUCUGCCUAACAACAGCGAUGUAUUGGCUGUCUAGAUGUGUAAGGACAUGAUCCCACAUAUUAGAAGGUAAUAAAUAAAUGCUUGUGUAAUCAUGUCUUGCCUUUGCAGCUGUUUGACCCAGUGGGUGAAUAAACUUGGUUCGAGCUUUG